rnacentral:rRNA from 1 species
GACGAACGCUGGCGGCGUGGAUUAGGCAUGCAAGUCGAACGGUAGGGUUCCUUCGGGGACCUGAGAGUGGCGAACGGGUGAGUAACACGUAGGUAAUCUACCCUCAAAUCGGGGACAACCCAGGGAACUUGGGCUAAUACCGGAUGAGUGCGCUUUCGGGUGCAUAAAAGGUGGCGUAAGCUGCUGUUUGGGGAUGAGCCUGCGCUCUAUUAGUUAGUUGGUGAGGUAACGGCUUACCAAGGCGAUGAUAGAUAGGCGGCCUUAACGGGUGGUCGCCCACACUGGGAUUGAGAUACGGCCCAGACUCCUACGGGAGGCAGCAGUCGAGAAUAGUCUACAAUGGACGAAAGUCUGAUAGUGCGACGCCGCGUGAAACGAAGAAGCCCUUCGGGGUGUAAAGUUCUUUUAUAUGUGAGCAAUGCUUCCUAGUGAAUAGUUUAGGAGAGAGAUAUUAGCAUAUGAAUAAGCAACGGCUAACUCCGUGCCAGCAGCCGCGGUAAUCUAGUCUACGC